rnacentral:rRNA from 1 species
UACAGAGACUGCAAGCGUUGUUCGGAUUCAUUGGGCGUAAAGGGUCCGUAGGCGGUCGGUUAAGUCGGAUGUGAAAUCUCGUGGCCCAACCACGAGCGGUCAUUCGAAACUAAUCGGCUAGAGGGCUGGAGAGGAGACUGGAAUUGUCGGUGUAGCGGUGAAAUGCGUAGAGAUCGACAAGAACACCGGUGGCGAAGGCGGGUCUCUGGACAGUUCCUGACGCUGAGGGACGAAAGCUAGGGGAGCAAACGGG